AUAUAAGUGUCUGAAAAUAUCACAUUCAGUUUGCACUUAACUAUAUUCUUUCUAUAAGAUGUACUUUCUUUAAAAAAUUAUGCAAAAGUGUACUUCUUUGCAUUCCAAGCUCUUGAUAACAAAUGAGUUUCAAAAGGAAAAUUAUACUUUUUGGAUCCAUCAAAUACUUCUUCUUUAAUAAAGAUAAAUGUCUUUUCCUCCAAUCAAUCUUCAUGCCUCCAAUCCUAUUGAGUAAACAAAGCCCUUUGAAACCUUAUGGACUAUUCAGGUCUCUGUUGGCUUCUCACCAGUCAAAGGCUGUGGUCAACCAGAAACUUGGACAGAAUGUAUUGGUGAUGUCAGCUGGAGUCUUUCCAUUCCUGAUCUUAACUCCAAGGGACAUACUGAGUGUAACGUGAUUCCUUUGUAAGAGGACUUUGACACAGGAGACAUGGGGGAUAUGUACAGACACGUGCUGCGGUCAGUGAAGAGUGGACAUGAAGACGUUAACGCUGGGUGUGCAACGAACAGGAGAACUGUGGGUCAGGAGGACAUACUUAAGGAACAGCCCACAGACAUCUGUACUCCAGCAGAGGCUGGUCAGGAGGAGCCAGCGGCCCAAGAGAGAGACGACAGCAGAGGCUCUGCAGAGAGAGUAUUCUGCCUGAUCGGGGUCAUUGCUAUCAUCCUCAAUCUUCUAGUGGUGGUGUUAGUGUACAUUUACACUCCUGUGUGAAGAGAAGUUCAUUACCCAACACUUCAGACAUCUGGACGGCUUCACUGUCAAUGCCCAUAAUAAAAAGGACUAGACAUUGUGUUUGUUAUGGUGAGCAGACUGGGAAUAUACAGUACAUAUCUCUCAUGCCAGUGUGUUGUGUUAUAUUUGUCUUUAGGAUGGCUGUGGCUGACAAAGUAAAUGAAGUUUAAGCUAAGCAUAUAUCAGUGUCCUUUAAUUACUACUGAUUAAUGAAUGUUAACUGUGGAUCCUUCCGUUUUCUACAUGCUAUUUUCUAAAUGCACAAGCUUCUAUGAAACCGGGAAAUAAUCUCUAAAUGUAAAUAUUUGAGACAUUUCACUUUCCUGAUAAAUUUCAUAACAUCCCCUUAAAUAUUAAAACCCUUAAUGACAUCAUCCUCUAGGAAGUGACAUCAUUUUGGAGGGAGAACAACACAAACAUCAGGAUGGAACACAAAUAUAAGGAUUUGUUGAAUUCUGUGAUGAUUGUCAUUUAAGUAAGGUUGUCUCACUUUUAAACGUAAAUAAAAUUAUUAAAACUUAUAUUCUGAUAUCAUAAAAUCAAAAUGAAAACAUGGUUAAAAGUGUCUUAUCUGUAACAUUUAUAUUUACAUUAACUACUUUCAAAUUGACUUUUACAAAGUGCUUUAUUGUUGUUAUUUUCCUUUUUAGCUACAAUG